AUUGAACGCUGGUGGCAUGCCUUACACAUGCAAGUCGAACGGCAGCACGGGAGCAAUCCUGGUGGCGAGUGGCGAACGGGUGAGUAAUAUAUCGGAACGUGCCCAGUCGUGGGGGAUAACGCAGCGAAAGCUGUGCUAAUACCGCAUACGAUCUACGGAUGAAAGCGGGGGAUCGCAAGACCUCGCGCGAUUGGAGCGGCCGAUAUCAGAUUAGCUAGUUGGUGAGGUAAAGGCUCACCAAGGCGACGAUCUGUAGCUGGUCUGAGAGGACGACCAGCCACACUGGAACUGAGACACGGUCCAGACUCCUACGGGAGGCAGCAGUGGGGAAUUUUGGACAAUGGGCGCAAGCCUGAUCCAGCAAUGCCGCGUGCAGGAUGAAGGCCUUCGGGUUGUAAACUGCUUUUGUACGGAACGAAACGGUGAACUCUAAUACAGUUUGCUAAUGACGGUACCGUAAGAAUAAGCACCGGCUAACUACGUGCCAGCCGCCGCAGUAACAC
rnacentral:rRNA from 1 species